ACGGAAGGCAGCAGUAGGGAAUAUUGCACAAUGGGGGAAACCCUGAUGCAGCAACGCCACGUGUGGGAAGAAGCAUUUCGGUGUGUAAACCACUGUCGUGAGGGAAUAAUGCUUGGCCUCGGCCAAGUUGAAUGUACCUCGAAAGGAAGCACCGGCAAACUUCGUGCCAGCAGCCGCGGUAAUACGAGGGGUGCAAGCGUUGUUCGGAAUCACUGGGCGUAAAGGGAGCGCAGGCGGAGAUGCAAGCAGUCUGUACAAUACCGGGGCCCAACCCCGGACCUGCAGACUGGACUGUUUCUCUUGGAUAGUUCAGGGGCAAGCGGAAUUCCUGGUGUAGCGGUGAAAUGCGUAGAUAUUAGGAGGAACACCAGUGGCGAAGGCGGCUUGCUGGACGACAACUGACGCUGAGGCGCGAAAGCGUGGGGAGCAAACAGGAUUAGAUACCCUGGUA
rnacentral:rRNA from 1 species